AGAGACAGCAGCCGCCCGGUAAUACGGAGGGUGCAAGCGUUAAUCGGAAUUACUGGGCGUAAAGCGCACGCAGGCGGUCUGACAAGUCAGAUGUGAAAUCCCCGGGCUUAACCUGGGAACUGCAUUUGAAACUGUCAGGCUGGAGUCUUGUAGAGGGGGGUAGAAUUCCAGGUGUAGCGGUGAAAUGCGUAGAGAUCUGGAGGAAUACCGGUGGCGAAGGCGGCCCCCCGGACAAAGACUGACGCUCAGGUGCGAGAGCGUGGGGAGCAAACAGGAUUAGAUACCCCUGUAGUCCCUGUCUCUUAUACA
rnacentral:rRNA from 1 species